AACUACAUAUUUAUGUAAAAACGUAAGCGUGUAUGGAAUGUAACGUAGUGAGCAUGAAAUGGUACGUCAGAUUUCUCAGAUUUGAUUAGUUUCCCGUACGUAUAUUUCAAUCCCGAUACCUAUUCUAUCGAUUUCUAUCCGCGCCAGUGUAAAAAUAAUAUUACGGUCUAUUACAGUCAUGUAGAAUGUCAUGUAGAACUAUACGUUAUUAAAUUUACGAAUUUAAUAACCGUUUAAGCUAAACAAUUAUUUUUUUUUAAAUAAUGCUUCAGAGCUACCAAUUUACCAGAAAAUUGAUUCAUUGAUAGGAUAAAGUGAAUAACGUUAGAUUUUUCUGCUUUUAAGCUUCUUCAGCAUUUCAAGCAAUUGAGAAGAUACAUACCGGCUAGCGUUCUGCGGUGUCACAACAUGAUGCUGUCGGCUUUCCAUAUCAGUUUUGGGAUCUGGAAUUCUAGUAUGCUCCUCUG